AUACGGAGGAUCCGAGCGUUAUCCGGAUUUAUUGGGUUUAAAGGGUGCGCAGGCGGCCAUUUAAGUCAGCGGUUAAAUCGUGGGGCUCAACCCCAUUCUGCCGUUGAUACUGGGUGGCUUGAUUGCGGUCGAGGUUGGCGGAAUUCGUUGUGGAGCGGUGAAAUGCAUAGAUAUGACGAAGAACACCGAUUGCGUAAGCAGCUGACCAGACCGCAAAUGACGCUCAUGCACGAAAGUGCGGGGAUCGAACAGGAUUAGAUACCCUGGUAGUCCGCACAGUAAACGAUGAAUACUUGUUUUCGGCGAUAUAAUGUCGGAGGCAAAGCGAAAGCGAUAAGUAUUCCACCUGGGGAGUACGCCGGCAACGGUGAAACUCAAAUGAAUUGGCGGGG
rnacentral:rRNA from 1 species